rnacentral:rRNA from 1 species
ACAGUGUCGCAAUAGUAAUCCAACCUAGUACGAGAGGAACCGUUGAUUCGCACAAUUGGUCAUCGCGCUUGGUUGAAAGCCAGUGGCGCGAAGCUACCGUGCGUUGGAUUAUGACUGAACGCCUCUAAGUCAGAAUCCGGGCUAGAUGCGACGCGUGCGCCCGCCGUCCGAUUGCCGACCUGCAGUAGGGGCCUCUUGGCCCCGGAGGCACGUGCCGUUGGCCAAGCCCUCGCGGUGAAAGAGCCGCGCGGGCCGCCUUGAAGUACAAUUCCCACCGAGCGGCGGGUAGAAUCCUUUGCAGACGACUUAAAUACGCGACGGGGUAUUGUAAGUGGCAGAGUGGCCUUGCUGCCACGAUCCACUGAGAUUCAGCCCCAUGUCGCUCCGAUUC